CCGUAGCUCAGUUGGAUAGAGCAACAGCCUUCUAAGCUGUGGGUCGUGGGUUCGAAUCCCGCCGG
rnacentral:tRNA from 1 species